AACCUCCGGCGACUGCGUCGCGACUCUCUUAUCCUCUUGUCCGGCGAGCCGCCCUCCACUCCGCGGCCGCGCCAUCUACUCCUUACCUGCCUCACCUUAUCCCCUCCCACCAUCUCUCCACUCUGCCUCUCAGUGUUCCCGUGCUCCUCUGGCGCCCGCAUCCAGAUCUGGCCGCCUAGGGUUCGCUGCCGCCUAAGAUGGCCACCAUGGAGCUCGCCGCCGCUGGAUCCGGCGGCCAAGUCCUUGACCAGAUGCCGCAGUCAAGGAGGAGGCAGGGUCAAGAAGAGGCGGCGCCGUCCCAGGCUGGUGCGAGAAGCGCGCUGGUCCUCCUUCCGGCCAGUGGCUACCUUGCUCCAGGCCUGCUCCUGGGUUAAUGUUGAGCGACGACGGCGGCGAAAACCACCUGGGAUGCGAAGGAGAAGCAUGGUGUCCGACCAUUGGGGGUAGGGAAGCAUGGAUCCAGUGGCUGCAACUAAUUUCUGGGCUGAUUCGAGCUGCCUCCUUGCCACCACGGCCGAAGGUGUAAGCGGGUGACGGUGUUGCUAAAACUCAAAGCCACCAAUGCAACUCCCACAACUCGACCAUACCUCAGGCUUGAUAUUCUUCCUUAAUCCAACGUGUUUCUAUUGAAAGUACUCAGUGGUUAACGGAUUGUUGGUUUCAUGAUGUGCUUAGCGAGAUUGAUAUUUUUUUAGUACGGGUUGACCACGUCUUAGGUUGGUCAGACUAUCCACACACUGGCAUGUGUAUUGCCCUGUCUAACAUUUCAUUAAGCAGGUUGAUUUUUUCCUUAGUAUAGUCCUUAUUCCUUAAGCAGGUUGAUUUUUUCAAGUAAUUGCCUUAAUAGCAGAAAAUAGUGUACCGAUGAAAAAAAUAAUAUGAAUAUUGCCCUGUCUAACAUUUCAUUUCUCCAUGCUCUGGCAAGUGCUGCUUCAUCCCUCAAAUUGACUUAUGUAACCAGAUUAAAGUUGUACGCACACAUGAAAAAAAGAUCGCUAAUAUGCACAUCCUCCUUUACAGUCAUUGUUAUUUCAAACAAGACUGACAAUUUUUUAUCAUGGGACAUGUAUUGGUCCUUAAUAAGUGUCAAAUGAACUUCCUCCUUUCCCAGCCAUUCAUGCAAUCCAAAUGUUAAGAUGCACUGUUUAAGUGAACAUAGAUUGCUUAUGCAGGUGCAUAUUGAACUACUUACUGCGGCUUCUGAAUUUAUGGAUUGUGUGCAAAGUUUUCAUUGUUUCUGCAGUUACGUUCCUACCUUUCCACAUCCUUGAUUGCAGUCUUACUAUUAUAUAAUAUCCAUUCAAUGUUUACUGCCUAGGUCUAUAUCCUUGCCUGCAUAUUUACUUGGCAAAUUAUAUUUGCAAUGAGUUCUAGAUUAGACUAGAUAUAGACACAAUCAUAUAGUUUCUUGUUGUUGCACUUACACACGAAUUGGUUCAUCAAAUUACUUUGUUAUUAGGCGAGGUCUCCAUUCUUAUUUGUACAACUUGAAAUGAAAUAGUCAAUGAUCUUAAAUUGUUUACAAUGGACAUAUAUGUAAACAAAUGAGUUGGCAUAGAGGGGCAUCUUCAUCGUCUCACUGCUAAAGUAUUUGUGUUACUCACACACUCAUCUGUUUAGUAUAUAUGUCUUACUUGCAUAUUUAAACUGAAGAUCCAUUUGUAGUGUGCACGUUUACAGAUAAACUGUACUAAUUCAAAAACCUUGCAACUGUUACAUAUACACAUAAGCAUCAUUAUUCAGAGUAGCAGUUGCACUUCAAUACAGAAAAUUCAGGUUUCAGGAAAAGAAGUACAACCAUGCAGAACUAGCUUCAGGUUGCAUAAAAAGACCAAAUAAGUAAACUAGUGUUUCAGCCUUUUAGUUAAGCAUGGGAGCUAUGUGCACCGGGCUGCCGUACAUAGUAGAACUCUCACAAACAUAAGAGUCUGUAUUUAAUCUUCAUGGUCUGAGAACAGGACCUUCAGCUUAUUUAACCCUGCUAUGGAAUAUUAGUAUAUUACUCCCAAAUUGUACAAGUUGAAUUUAUAUAGCAAGUAAAAGCAAUACAUUGGGUAAAAUGAGCACAAAGUAAUUAUUCCAUGGUUGUAGUUGAAACUGAAGCACGUCGACAAGCUGAACAAUGCAUGAUGCUGACUAGUGAUAUUUUUGCUAGGUGAAGCCCUACGAGCCCAGGUCGUCUUCCUCAUCCCACCGCUAUCAUAUUGCAUGAGUCUAAUACGACCAAUUUAGUGAAUUAUUAUUGUUCAGUGGCUUGUGCAUUUGCGCGUGUAAUUGUGUAUGUGCCAAGAUAUUGUUUCAAUUGAUAAGGUGGAUUCCUGAGUACAAUUUGUUGAUGCAGUUCCUUUCCUUUUACGACGUUAGUUGUUUCAUGUUCAUAAUGACUUCUAAUGGUGAACACCCUCCAGACUGUGCUUUUUGGCAAGAUAAAAAAAAUUCUACUAGGAAAAGGGGAUGUUGGGUGGUUCUGAAUGUUAAAAUAUUAUGCGCAGUGGCACAUUCUAUAUUAUUCCAUAUUUAUAGUCCAUGAUUUUAAACAGUGUCCACUAGGAUUGUGGCUUUCAAUGACCACAACCUGUUAUUUGACUUCUUUGUGUUACCGUAGUGCACUAUAUUAUGCAUGUGACAUGAGAACAAACUAUGGAAACCUUCCCAUGGAAAAAAUAGAACUGGUUUAUGUCCAUCAAAUAUUUCCAUACAUGGUUUCUGAUAUGAUUGUUUGAACUGGUAGUUGUAGACUCAUAGGUACAUCUCGUUGCUUGUUAAUCUGCCCUAGGCCAAAAAAAUUAUCAGCACAUAAAGUUCUAGUCUAAAUCCUUUUAUUAUCUAAGUUGCAGGAUAACAAUCAAUAUUCUGUGUUUAUAAUUAUAUCCAAGUUUCCUAGUUUCAAGAACACACUUGAUGGUCAUCACUGGUUGUAGAAGUGCUACCGCUGUUGUUAGUUGGUGGCUGCUAGCGUGCUUGCUCGCUGAUGUGUAUGCUGUAUGGAUCUUCUAUGCUUGAUGGUGUGAUGAUGGCUGAUGCUGCUGCCUAUUCUAUAUGCUUGCGGGUGUGCUUCUGUUGUGUUGAUUUCGUUGUGCUUCUGUUGCUACUGCCUGCUAUUUUCCAGCUUGCUGUACUGUUUUCCACUAUAUUCUGCGGCUGCCACUUUCUCAUUUUCAUGUGAAGUUACUUGUAUAAAAAAGAUGGGACACUAUCCCCAUUUGAUGCACAAAAUUUAAAAUCCACCUUUUUGACUUACAGUGUGUUUCUUUUGUAGGAGAGAUAUGCAUGAGGACUAAUAAACAAGUAGCCGGGGUUCGCUCCAACUGGAUGUUUUGUAUAUUUUUACAUUGGACAUUCACCUCUUAGCUAUCCUUUUGUGAGCCUGAUGUAUGGUAUCUUGGAUAAUGAACCAAAAAUAAUAGUACCACCAAGUUACCUUUUGUGAACCAGAUGUAUGGUGUCUUGGUGAUUAUGUUUGGAACAAAUGAAUUAUAUGUAUGUGACAAUUAAUGGAAUAGAAAAUGUUUGGUGCACUUA